CAGUUGUGCACGAGCCAUAUACACCAUGUGGCGCCAGGUGGAAAGGAACAACGCAGAUAGGAAAUGCUCCUAGACACUCGGUUGAGCAUUACCGUGACCAAAUAUCUCUGAUUAGACCUGGCCAGUUUAUCUGGACACCAUACGCACAUUGCAUACUGC